UACGGGGGGGAGCAAGCGUUGUUCGGAUUUACUGGGCGUAAAGGGCGCGUAGGCGGUCUGUCGCGUCGGCUGUGAAAACCCGGGGCUCAACCCCGGGCCUGCAGUCGAUACGGGCAGACUAGAGUGCGGUAGGGGAGACUGGAAUUCCUGGUGUAGCGGUGAAAUGCGCAGAUAUCAGGAGGAACACCGGUGGCGAAGGCGGGUCUCUGGGCCGUAACUGACGCUGAGGAGCGAAAGCGUGGGGAGCGAACAGG
rnacentral:rRNA from 1 species